rnacentral:rRNA from 1 species
GACGAACGCUGGCGGCGUGCUUAACACAUGCAAGUCGAGCGAUGAAGCUCCUUCGGGAGUGGAUUAGCGGCGGACGGGUGAGUAACACGUGGGUAACCUGCCUCCUAGAGGGGAAUAGCCUUUCGAAAGGAAGAUUAAUACCGCAUAAGAUUGUAGCUUCGCAUGAAGCAGCAAUUAAAGGAGUAAUCCGCUAUGAGAUGGACCCGCGUCGCAUUAGCUAGUUGGUGAGGUAACGGCUCACCAAGGCGACGAUGCGUAGCCGACCUGAGAGGGUGAUCGGCCACAUGGGGACUGAGACACGGCCCAGACUCCUACGGGAGGCAGCAGUGGGGAAUAUGGCACAAUGGGGGAAACCCUGAUGCAGCAACGCCGCGUGAGUGAUGACGGUCUUCGGAUUGUAAAGCUCUGUCUUCAGGGACGAUAAUGACGGUACCUGAGGAGGAAGCCACGGCUAACUACGUGCCAGCCGCCGCCGUAA